UACGUAGGUGGCAAGCGUUAUCCGGAAUUAUUGGGCGUAAAGCGCGCGCAGGCGGUUUCUUAAGUCUGAUGUGAAAGCCCACGGCUCAACCGUGGAGGGUCAUUGGAAACUGGGAAACUUGAGUGCAGAAGAGAAAAGCGGAAUUCCACGUGUAGCGGUGAAAUGCGUAGAGAUGUGGAGGAACACCAGUGGCGAAAGGCGGCUUUGC
rnacentral:rRNA from 1 species